UAGGGAAUCUUCGGCAAUGGACGGAAGUCUGACCGAGCAACGCCGCGUGAGUGAAGAAGGUCUUCGGAUCGUAAAGCUCUGUUGUUAGAGAAGAACGAUGGUAGGAGUGGAAAAUCUACCAAGCGACGGUAACUAACCACAAAGGCACGGCUAACUACGUGCCAGCAGCCGCGGUAAUACGUAGGUCCCGAGCGUUGUCCGGAUUUAUUGGGCGUAAAGCGAGCGCAAGCGGUUCUUUAAGUCUGAAGUUAAAGGCAGUGGCUUAACCAUUGUACGCAUUGGAAACUGGAGGACUUGAGUGAAGAAGGGGAGAGUGGAAUUCCAUGUGUAGCGGUGAAAUGCGUAGAUAUAUGGAGGAACACCGGUGGCGAAAGCGGCUCUCUGGUCUGUAACUGACGCUGAGGCUCGAAAGCGUGGGGAGCGAACAGG
rnacentral:rRNA from 1 species